rnacentral:rRNA from 1 species
CCUACGGGAGGCAGCAGUGGGGAAUAUUGCGCAAUGGGCGAAAGCCUGACGCAGCGACGCCGCGUGAGGGAUGAAGGUCUUCGGAUCGUAAACCUCUUUCAGCAGGGAAGAACGGUCACUGUGCUAAUCAGCAGUGAAUUGACGGUACCUGCAAAGGAAGCACCGGCUAACUCCGUGCCAGCAGCCGCGGUAAUACGGAGGGUGCGAGCGUUAAUCGGAAUUACUGGGCGUAAAGCGCUCGUAGGCGGUAUGUCAAGUCAAGGGUGAAAUCCCCGCGCUCAACGUGGGAACUGCCUUUGAAACUGGCAAACUGGAGUGUGUGAGAGGAUAGUGGAAUUCCAGGUGUAGGAGUGAAAGCCGUAGAUAUCUGGAGGAACAUCAGUGGCGAAGGCGACUAUCUGGCACAUAACUGACGCUGAGGAGCGAAAGCGUGGGUAGCAAACAGGAUUAGAUACCCCAGUAGUC